AAAAGAGUUGGUUCUUUAUUCGAAUCUCUGGGAACGAAUUCCGUCCCGACAAGAAAUGCCCCGUAGGACAUCACAAGAAAUGACGUCACGUAGCUCAGUCAUUUGUCACGGUGGGGUGCAGCGUUCUCCCGGGACGCAAAACUGACGGCUCCGGACGAAAGCGUGCAGAUUUGUCUGCAGCAAGUUCCCACACUAUCUGGCAGCAUGCCAGUACACGCCCCCGCACGCCGAGUAUACCACGCCAACGCUUCACCGCAGCUGCAGGCUGUCUGUCAUCAAUGCACCUGGCGGCAAUCAAGAGGACAGCAUAAGAUCCAGUCACUCCUUGGAUCCUACGCCGGAACGUCGUUAACUCCUGUAUGCCCAUCUUGUCCCGUGUGCUCGAGCGCUGUAACUCAACCUCCACCCGGAAAUUGGACUGCCUUCCUCGAUCCUUGAUCACUCGCCUGGACUUGGACAUUGUUGCUUGCCGCCUGCCCUCGAACUCCUGCCUGUCCCCGGAUCUCCUUUGUGCCUCUCCUCUUGGUCAGAUGAAGAUUUCAUCCACCACGCAUAUACAACAUCCUCUUGAAUUAUUUACAUGGUUAACUUUGCACUUAAUCCUGCAACCAACACUUAGAGUAGCGUACACAUCCCACACAAUCAUCAAAGGUUACAAUAAACCUGG